GACGAACGCUGGCGGCGUGCCUAAUACAUGCAAGUAGAACGCUGAAGAGAGGAGCUUGCUCUUCUUGGGUGAGUUGCGAACGGGUGAGUAACGCGUAGGUAACCUGCCUUGUAGCGGGGGAUAACUAUUGGAAACGAUAGCUAAUACCGCAUAACAAUGGAUGACCCAUGUCAUUUAUUUGAAAGGGGCAAAUGCUCCACUACAAGAUGGACCUGCGUUGUAUUAGCUAGUAGGUGAGGUAACGGCUCACCUAGGCGACGAUACAUAGCCGACCUGAGAGGGUGAUCGGCCACACUGAGACUGAGACACGGCCCAGAUUCCUACGGGAGGCAGCAGUAGGGAAUCUUCGGCAAUGGGGGCAACACUGACCGAGCAACGCCGCGUGAGUGAAGAAGGUUUUCGGAUCGUAAAGCUCGGUUGUAAGUCAAGAACGAGUGUGAGAGUGGAAAGUUCACACUGUGACGGUAGCUUACCAGAAAGGGACGGCUAACUACGUG
rnacentral:rRNA from 1 species